AUACGGAGGGUCCAAGCGUUAUCCGGAUUCAUUGGGUUUAAAGGGUCCGCAGGCGGGAAAAUAAGUCAGUGGAGAAAGCCUACUGCUCAACUGUAGAACUGCCAUUGAUACUGUUUUUCUUGAGUAUAGAUGAAGUGGGCGGAAUAUAUCAUGUAGCGGUGAAAUGCAUAGAUAUGAUAUAGAACACCGAUUGCGAAGGCAGCUCACUAAACUAUUACUGACGCUCAGGGACGAAAGCGUGGGGAGCGAACAGGAUUAGAAACCCUAGUAGUCC
rnacentral:rRNA from 1 species